rnacentral:rRNA from 1 species
UGGUGGGUUGCCUUGUCAGGUUGAUUCCGGUAACGAACGAGACCUCAGCCUGCUAAAUAGUCGCGCUUGCCUCUGGCAGGUGGUUGACUUCUUAGAGGGACUAUUGACGCAAGUCAAUGGAAGUAUGAGGCAAUAACA